rnacentral:rRNA from 1 species
GAAAGUUACUUUAGGGAUAACAGGAUAAUAAAGGUGUCAGUACUAAUGAAAAAUUAAGAUUAUUACUUCGAUGUUGAAUCAAAUAGUCUAUUUUGGCAGUAAAUGUUAGAAAAAGGAAAUCUGUUCGAUUUUUAAAAAUUUAAGUGAUUUGAGUUAAGAUCGGUGUGAGCCAGAUUGGUUUCUAUCUUUUAUAUA